UCACCCUCUGGGUCCCAGUUUCUUCCUCUGACUCCAAGGGUUUGGACUAGAACAGUCCCGAGCCUCCAGCUCUGACCUCUUAUUCAGUAGAGCCUGAGGUCACCUUCCUUCUACUCAGGGAGGGUGCUGCCUUCCUCCAGACCCCAGGCAAGCAUGUGGCUGUGAGUUUUAUCAAGGAAUCGGUAUUCAUAGUGUAACAAGAAGGACAGGCAUACAACGAACGUAUGAAAUGGUCCAGAAUAAGGUGAAGAUUCGUGCUAUGGAAACAGCACCAGCCUCUGGAGGAAGAAACUGUGAUCCAGAAGUACACGUAAGGCCCGCGAAUGGCAGGCAGCCAGGCCAGAGCGUAUCUGUGGACACUGAGCGCGGAGGGUGGCUAAGAUCUGACUCCUGAUGGCUUGGGCUGCUUCACAGAACAGGCGGAGCUCUGCUUCCAGGAGUAAACGGUCUAUUCAGCGAACUAGCAAACAGUUGCAUUCCGCAAAUGUUUGGAAAACUUCAGGCAAGGAAGUGUAGAAUGUGCAGAAGAUGGUUCAGAGACAGAAGGCAGUGGAGCAAGAUGGCCUGGUGGAAAUAACUGAUGGGAAGAAUUCACAAUGUCAGAGGUGGCUCCGCCCAGAGGAGAGGACUCCCCAACACUUUCCUCAGGUGUCAUCCAUAUGAAAUCAUAAAAGUCUAACAAAUUUGUUGGGUGCUCAACAAGACCUGAAUAUGUCUUGAGAAGCUUGAAAAUGGGCUGAAUCUAAGAAGAAAAUGUGUCACUUUCUUCACUUGGGUGAGUAAAUGAAUGGCCCAAGACUGAGAUGGGGCGAUGUGGAGCAGUGAAGAAGACUUAAAAGGGUUUUAGACAAUAGUAGAGUAAGAAGAAGCCACUAGUAGAUGCAAUGCCUCCAUGCUCAUUGGUGGUCAGGUUGCAUCAGAGAAGCUCAACAUCAGGAGUGAGCCACGUUAGUAAGGCAUCACACUUAAGAGGGAAACAGCCACUGUCCACAUUUGUCAAAAGCACCUGGUAUGGUGCAGGACUUGAGACCACACUGUGCCAGAAAGGUCGAAAGAACUAGGGACAGAUAGGGAAGUAAGAAAAAAAAAAAAGGAUGUGAUAACCAUAUUCAUAUGCUAA